GGUUGUGGCUCAGUGGUAGAGUGCUUGCCUAGCAUUUGUGAGGCGCUAGGUUCAAUCCUUAGCACCA
rnacentral:tRNA from 1 species